GGCAACCCGCUCGGGUUCCUUUCCUCAUGGUGGAAGGUUUGUUUUUUGCUCUUUGCAAUAAAUCUUGCUACUGCUAACUCUUUGGGUCCACACUGCUUUUAUGAGCUGUAACACUCACCGGGAAGAUCUGCAGCUUCGCUCCUGAGUCAGCGAGACCACGAACCCACCAGAAGGAAGAAACUCUGAACACAUCCGAACAUCAGAAGGAACAAACUCCAGACGCACCACCUUAAGAGCUGUAACACUCACCGCGAGGGUCCACAGCUUUAUUCUUGAAGUCAGUGAGACCAAGAAUCCACCAAUUCCGGACACAAUUAAGGAAGAUAAGAGUAUCACAAGGAUAACCUCUGUGAGUAGAGCAUGGCUUAUCUUCUUGGCCUAUUGAAGAUUUCAUCAAAGGUAUUUAGAUCCUAAAUCAUUGGUGAAUUCUGGAAUCUGAAAAAUAAAGAGAGAUUUGCAACAACCAAGGAAAUUCUCAGUGAAAAAAGAAGCUGCUAAAGUUUGGUGAGAGAGCAUGGCAACACUUUCCCACCUAUUAUCAUCCACUCCAAAGCCCAGGGGUGACCUUGGGGAAAGGGAUCCACAUUCCUCGUGCAGCUUGGUGGUGCCAGAGAGGGCUGAGGCAGCCUUUUGGGUGAAGUUUCUUGAAAACAUCCAAAGGCAAAAAUACUGGCCCCACCACCCUGAGACAAGCAGCAGACAGACUGGAGGCCCGGGAAGGAAGAAGCUAAGGAAGGAAAUACAUAAGUGAAAAAGAAUUUCCCAUAAAAAAGAAUUUCCACAAAUUCUAGAAAAUCUAUAAGGUCAUGCACAUGCCCACGGUUGGAAAUAUGCUCAGAGAAAACUCUGUAAACCAAAAGUAUCUGAGACACGUCUCAAUCAAUAUAGAAGCUUCGGUAGUCAAAAGAGUUUGAUAUUGGUAUAAGUAUAGACAUAAAUAGAUAAAUAGAAUUAAUUAAUAGUCUGUAAGUAAACCCAUAGAUAUGUGAUAUCGAUAUGUAAUCAGUUGGUUUUUGGCAAUGGUACCAACACACCAACACCAUUGCCUUGUCGGGGGGAAACAAUAGUCUCUUUAACAAAUGGUGAUGGAAAAAUUUGAUAUCUUCAUGAAAAAAAUUAAGUUAGACUUUUACCUCACACCAAAUAUAGAACAAUUCAAAAUCAAUCAAAAGCCUAAAUAUCAAAGCUAAAAGUAUAAAACUGAUAGAAUAAAACAUACGGAUACAUCUUCAGGACUUUAGAUUUGGCAAUUAUUUCUUAGAUAUGACACACAAAGCACAAUCAACAAAAACAAAGUAUACAAGUUCGACAUUUUUAAAAUUUAACAUGUUUGUGCAUUAAAAAAUACCAUCAACAGAGUGAUAAGACAAACUACCAGAGACAAAAUAUUCAUAAGUUAUGUAU
rnacentral:lncRNA from 1 species